rnacentral:rRNA from 1 species
GAUGAACGCUGGCGGCGUGCCUAACACAUGCAAGUCGAGCGAUCUUCUUCGGAAGAGAGCGGCGGACGGGUGAGUAACGCGUGGGUAACCUGCCCUGUACACACGGAUAACAUACCGAAAGGUAUGCUAAUACGGGAUGACAUAUGAAAGUCGCAUGGCUUCUAUAUCAAAGCUCCGGCGGUACAGGAUGGACCCGCGUCUGAUUAGCUAGUUGGUAAGGUAACGGCUUACCAAGGCGACGAUCAGUAGCCGACCUGAGAGGGUGAUCGGCCACACUGGAACUGAGACACGGUCCAGACUCCUACGGGAGGCAGCAGUGGGGAAUAUUGCACAAUGGGCGAAAGCCUGAUGCAGCAACGCCGCGUGAGCGAUGAAGGCCUUCGGGUCGUAAAGCUCUGUCCUCAAGGAAGAUAAUGACGGUACUUGAGGAGGAAGCCCCGGCUAACUACGUGCCAGCAGCCGCGGUAAUACGUAGGGGGCUAGCGUUAUCCGGAAUUACUGGGCGUAAAGGGUGCGUAGGCGGUCUUUCAAGCCAGAAGUGAAAGGCUACGGCUCAACCGUAGUAAGCUUUUGGAACUGUAGGACUUGAGUGCAGGAGAGGAGAGUAGAAUUCCUAGUGUAGCGGUGAAAUGCGUAGAUAUUAGGAGGAAUACCAGUAGCGAAGGCGGCUCUCUGGACUGUAACUGACGCUGAGGCACGAAAGCGUGGGGAGCAAACAGG